UACGUAGGUGGCAAGCGUUGUUCGGAAUAACUGGGCGUAAAGGAUGCGUAGGCGGUUAAACAAGUUAUAUGUUAAAUAUAUAGGCUUAACCUGUAGAAAGCAUAUAAAACUGUUUAACUAGAGUGCAGGAGAGGUAAGUGGAAUUCCUAGUGUAGCGGUGAAAUGCGUAGAUAUUAGGAGGAACACCAGUGGCGAAGGCGGCUUACUGGACGGCAACUGACGUUGAGGCUCGAAAGCGUGGGGAGCAAACAGG
rnacentral:rRNA from 1 species